AGUGAACGCUGGCGGUAGGCCUAACACAUGCAAGUCGAACGGCAGCACAAUAAGAGCUUGCUCUUACGGGUGGCGAGUGGCGGACGGGUGAGGAAUACAUCGGAAUCUACUUUUUCGUGGGGGAUAACGUAGGGUAACUUACGCUAAUACCGCAUACGACCUACGGGUGAAAGCAGGGGAUCUUCGGACCUUGCGCGAUUGAAUGAGCCGAUGUCGGAUUAGCUAGUUGGCGGGGUAAAGGCCCACCAAGGCGACGAUCCGUAGCUGGUCUGAGAGGAUGAUCAGCCACACUGGAACUGAGACACGGUCCAGACUCCUACGGGAGGCAGCAGUGGGGAAUAUUGGACAAUGGGCGCAAGCCUGAUCCAGCCAUACCGCGUGGGUGAAGAAGGCCUUCGGGUUGUAAAGCCCUUUUGUUGGGAAAGAAAAGCAGCAGGUUAAUACCCCGCUGUUCUGACGGUACCCAAAGAAUAAGCACCGGCUAACUUCGUG
rnacentral:rRNA from 1 species